rnacentral:misc_RNA from 1 species
AUAAACUUUAUUUUUAAGGUUUGCUGAAAGUAAUCAAGUGCAAUGUUUCAUUACCUGUUUAUGUAAUGAUCAGACCAAGAGGGGGAGAUUUUCUAUACAGUGACGCAGAGUUUGAAGUAAUGAUCGAAGAUUGUAAAGAACUAAUCAAAGCAGGGGCUGAUGGCGUUGUUUUUGGUAUUCUCACAAAAAAAGGGGAAGUCGAUAUUCCUCGCUGUCAAACCUUAUUAGAUAUCAUCAAGCCGCUUUCCGCGACAUUUCAUCGAGCCUUUGAUAUGGUCUAUGAUCAGAGGUCUUCCUUAGAAGUGAUCAUAAACUUGGGUUUUGAUCGUAUCCUAACGAGUGGGGGCAAGUCUAGCGUACUUGAGGGAGCAUCUCGCCUAAAAAGUCUUGUUAUUCAGGCGGCAACACGGAUUAUCAUAAUGCCAGGUGGCGGUAUAAAUGAAGAUAAUUUAUUAGGGAUAUUGCAAGAGACUGGAGCGAGAGAGUUUCACGGCUCUGCUAGGACUAAUGUUCCUUCCAAAAUGGAGUACCAUAAUACUUCUGUUUCUAUGGGAGGCAUUGGAGACGAGUAUGGACUUCAAGUGGCUAAUCUUGACAGGAUAAAACACCUAACAUCUAAAGCGCAGACAUGUACUUCCAAUGAUUGAAAUGAAAAAACUACAGAACGAAAGUUUUUGAAGGCUGCAACACGGAUUAUCAUAAUGCCAGAACCGAAAACUUUUAACCUCGAAGAUGUUGUGACUUUGGGGGUGGAAUAUAAUAAGAAGUAAAAGAAGUACAAAAUCCCCAUAGUUCUUUAUGAUCUGAGAUCAAGGAUGUUCAAAGUGCAACAAAUGCGAUGAAUCCGUUCUACAAUGACAUAAUCUACCUAAGUUCCAAAAACUGGUCAGAGAAGAAAAAAAGGAUCUUCUCGACAAAGGGAGAAAAAGGGUUAAGACCAAGUUUUCUAUCACAGGAACUUACUCGGGAGAAAAGGGAGAAUACCUGGGCUUCAAAGUCCUAAAAUACCUUGGCGACGUGGAGGAAACAUCCCCUGAAGAUGAUUGGUAAAGUUUAUUUUCAAUAUUUUGAACUUAAACAUAAAUUCUCCAAUGUCCAAUCGCCGUCGUGCUUUCACCAUCUUCCAUAACCACUAUCUUAUCGCCGUUAGCCGACAGUGCAACUUUAUUAACUAUUUCCGUGUACACCGUAUGUUUCCUACUCCUGAAUAUGUUCAUGGAUUUGUUAACAUCUUUUGAGGAGUUUGCAGACGUUCUUUGAAAUACAAACUUUCUGUCUUAGCCAAUCGGGGCGUCAGCGCUAUGGUGUAAACUGCAUGUAAAGACGCUGAAAAUAAUGCUUCGCAAUUUUUU